AUAUAAAUAAAAUCUUCAUAUUGAUUUGUCAGUUUGGAUCUUGCUUGUUUCAGUGAUUGUUUGACUAAUUAUUGGCUCUGGUAUCAUUUUUCCUUUUUUCAGACACUUCCCAUUUUUCUUGAUCAUCUGGUUAUAGCUUGGGGUGCUAUUUUGAUUUCAGUGACAUUGAUUCUUCUGUUCGGUGAGAUAAUACUGCAAUCUGUUUGUUCUUGAUAUGGUUUGGCAAUCGGGGCAGCAGUUGCUCUAGUUCUCCGUGUUCUCGUCUUUAUCUGCUUUCUUGUUGCAUAUCCAAUCAGCAAGGUAAGAUAUGCAGUCAGAAACUAAUAGUGAAAUCGAGUUCACUUGAUAUGGUAAGAUUAUUUGUAGUGAGUGAACUUGAUUUCACUAUUAGUACUUUGCUAUUGAAUUGAACUAGGUGCUGGAAUUGACUUGCAGUCACAAACUAUAAUUAGUUUGAGCUAUAACUACUAAAGUAAUGUGUUUUCCUUGGCAAUUUGAAUGGACCCAAUGUUGAAUUAAAUAUAUACCGUGUUUGUAUUGCUUGUAAGUUGCCAUUGUGUCUUACAAUUUAUGAAAUUUCUUUAUGGGGUUAGUUUGAAUUGUUGGCUCGUAGUCUUAGGGAGAGGAACAAUAUCGCAUUCUCUUAGUAGUAGGUGCUAUAGGCAGAAAGCUUGCACUCACAGACAUUCAUUAUGCAGCAAUUUGUAAAUUACUUUAUUAGCUUCAUCAGCGAGUUGCUUUAGUCAUAAUGCUGUUUGCUUUCAGUAUACAGACACGUAAUUGUAUGUGUUUGCUUUGCUUGAUGCAAGUCAUUGAUUUUAAAUCUUUCCCUAUAUUUGUUGCAGCUGCUAUAAUUAACUGGAGUUUAAUCUCUCUAGUUGAUUUGAUAGCUUUUGUAUGUAGUUUAGCAGAUUGAAUUGUAUACUAUUAUUGUUUUACUGUACUUUGCAUGCCAUGUGCAAUUAUGCUUGCAUGAUGUUUAUCAUUUGGAAUCUUUUUCUUGGGUUGGGGGUUGAGGAUGGGUUGAGUUAAUCUAACUUGCUAUCAUGAAUGUUUUGAUAAAUUAAGAAAGAGAGAGAAUCUAUGGCUGAUUUGUUAGGUUUAAACGUAGCAUUCCACAUUACUUCGGGUGUUUCUUGCUGUACAUGGGAUUGACUUAAAAAUUCUUAUUCCUCUCUUCUUUGUUCUCUCUAAAGGAGAUUAGGGGUUUGUUUAGUUGUGUUUUAAGAAAAUAGAUUUUAAAUUUUUUUCCUUAUUUACACAAUAAAAUGUUGCAAACAAACUUUUAUAGGCAUAAGGAAAUAUUUCUUUUUCUUACAUGUGAUGCGACUGGCCCUAACUAAUCUAUUGCGAAUCUAUAAUUGACCCCAAAAAAGUAAGGCUUAGUUGUAGUUGGAAUGAAAAUAUCAGGAGGGUGGCUUGCUUUAUGCUGAAGCUGAUUGUCGAUAUUUUGAAAUAGGGAGCUGUUGGGGUCAUUCCGACAGACACUUUGUAUGUUGCACUUCCUGUGUUUGAAUGCACUUUUUUUGAAAUAGGGAGCUAAUUGCAUGCACUUUUUUUUUUCAUGUGUUUGAAUCUCAUUGGUUUGUGAGUAGUGGAAAAAAAAUAGAUCAAUUUGGAAGUUACAACAAUCUGUAUAUAAUUGCCAGGAAGAAUAAGAUAAAAAUUAUGAUCAUAGAAUAACUUAGAAAUAAUGUGCAAAACUCUCAAAAUUUUUGUGAGUUCCACUUAUUAAAAUAAGAAAUAAAAACAUUUUGAAUGGAUAAUGUGAAAUGCAAUUUGCAUAUUAUUGCAAACAAAUCAUUAUAGAUAACCAAUUAACCAUACAUGUAGGACCAUAUGUAUCAAAUUUAUUUAUUUAUUUUU